rnacentral:rRNA from 1 species
UACGGAGGGUGCGAGCGUUAAUCGGAAUUACUGGGCGUAAAGCGUGCGUAGGCGGCUGAUUAAGUCAGAUGUGAAAGCCCCGGGCUUAACCUGGGAACUGCAUUUGAUACUGGUCAGCUAGAGUUGAGUAGAGGAGAGGGGAAUUUCCGGUGUAGCGGUGAAAUGCGUAGAGAUCGGAAGGAACACCAGUGGCGAAGGCGCCUCUCUGGACUCAAACUGACGCUGAGGUACGAAAGCGUGGGUAGCAAACAGG